rnacentral:rRNA from 1 species
CCUACGGGCGGCAGCAGUGAGGAAUAUUGGUCAAUGGACGCAAGCCUGAACCAGCCAAGUCGCGUGAGGGAUGACGGUCCUAUGGAUUGUAAACCUCUUUUGUCGGGGAGCAAGGCCCGCCACGUGUGGCGGGAAGGAGAGUACCCGAAGAAAAAGCAUCGGCUAACUCCGUGCCAGCAGCGGCGGUAAUACGAGGGAUGCGAGCGUUAUCGGGAUUUAUUGGGUUUAAAGGGUGCGUAGGCGGAAGGUUAAGUCGGCGUGAAAAUGUCGGUGCUCAACAUCAGCCUGCCGUUGAAACUGGUAUUCGUGAGUGCGCGAGAGGUAUGCGGAAUGCGUGGUGUAGCGGUGAAAUGCAUAGAUAUCACGAAGAACUCCGAUUGCGAAGGCAGCAUACCGGCGCUCAACUGACGCUGAGGCACGAAAGCGUGGGGAUCGAACAGGAUUAGAUACCCCUGUAGUC